GUGUGUGAGAGAGAGAGAGGAUUCUAAUGCUUGAAGUAGUAGAUGGCAUAGAUCCAAUACAGAAUUGUGGUAUGAUAAAACAAAAAAGAAGCGAAACAGGAUCUAAAGAGAUGAAGAUAUACUUUUUCAGCAAAAAUUUUAACCAGCACGCUUCAGUCUACUUUGUUGUUUCAAAAUUUAGUUCUUUUCUUCUACCCUUUAUUAUCUAGAGCACAACACCAUUUCAUGGUUCACCAUCUCGGUACUAGACCAUGUACUGGUAUCAUGCUCAUACAGUGUUUCGGUACAGGAGUCAAUUCAGUGUAUUAGACUUGGUACACCCCCAUACCAAGUCUCACUUCGAAACCAGUGGUGCACGGUGGUACCCAUUGUUACAGCAAAUCUUGGUUUAACCACUACCAAUUAUACAUAAAAGAAGUCCACAAUAAGAGUAUGUAAUCCAAAUUAGUUUGAAUUUUAUGCGAGUAUUACUGUAACUAAUUUGCAUGCUUAUAUUAGUUAUUCGCCACAUUUCCUGCAUUUUCUGUCAUCACCAGCUUAUGUCAAGUUUAUGAAACAAUUCUCCAAAAAGUUCUCCAAGCAUCUGAUUCAUUCUUGGUGCAUGCUCUCGAAAGCUUUUGACUUUGGUAUGACUGAACUAACUGAGCCAUGCACCCAAUCAUGAGUAAAGCUGAACCAGCAGGUUCCUCAUCACAUUCUUAAAUUCAUAUUACUAAUUUUCUGUUGUCUCAAACCUACAUGGACUCUGGGUCAAGGUUCUCGCACCCUGCUAUUAUUUUCAUAAGAUCAAUCAAAACAACAUUUACAGAUGCAAUAACCAAGAAGC
rnacentral:lncRNA from 1 species